rnacentral:rRNA from 1 species
GGUUAAGGUACAACAUAGCACGAGGGGAAUGCCUUGGCGCUGAAUGCCGAAGAAAGACGUAGCAAGCUGCGAAAAGCCGCGGUAAGGAGCAAGCAUCCAUUGACCCGCGGAUCUCUGAAUGGGGCAACCUUCACAGGGCAACCUGUGAGCCCGUAAAACGGGCGGCAACCCGGAGAAGUGAAACAUCUCAGUACCCGGAGGAAAAGAAAUCGUAAGAGAUACCCCAAGUAGUGGUGAGCGAAAGGGGCGAAGCCUAAACCAACUGCAUGCCAAGCCUGCAGGCGUUGUGCAGCUGGGGUCGAGGGAUCUGUCGCGGAGUCCUGCAGAACUCCAAAAGAGUUACAAAACUUUUUUAUAACCGAAUCGAGUUGGAAAAUCGAGCCAAAGACGGUGAAAGCCCAGUAAGUGAAAUAAAAAAGCCUCUUAGACAGACACCCAAGUAAUGCGGAGCACGUGAAAUUCCGUACGAAUCCGGGCCGACCACGGUCCAAGGCUAAACACAUUCAGCGACCGAUAGUGAAACAGUACCGAGAGGGAAAGGUGAAAAGCACCCCUGACGGGGAGUGAAACAGACCUGAAACCUCGUGCUAACAAGCAGAGGGAGCUUCUUAGGAAGUGACCUCGUGCCUCUUGGAAAAUGAGCCGUCGAGUUAUAGUACGUGGCAAAGUUAAAAACUACAAGGUUUGAAGCUGCAGCGAAAGCGAGUCUGAACAGGGCGCAAGUCACAUGCUAUAGACCCGAAGCCAUACGAUCUAUCCAUGUCCAGAUUGAAGACCGGGUAACACCGGUUGGAGGAUCGAACCACAGCCUGUUGAAAAAGGCCUGGAUGAGGUGUGGAUAGGAGUGAAAAGCUAAUCGAGUAUGGUGAUAGCUGGUUCUCCCCGAAAUGCAUUGAGGUGCAGCCUCAAUCGGUAAGACUGCAGGGGGUAAAGCACUGAAUAGGUGAGGGGGCAGCACUGCCUACCGAGCUUAAUCAAACUCAGAAUACCUGCAGAUCUGGAUUGGGAGUGAGACUGCGAGUGCGAAGAUCCGUAGUCGAAAGGGAAACAGCCCAGCCCGACAGCUAAGGUCCCAAAGCCCAUGCUAAGUGUUACAAGGAUGUGGGGAUGCCCAGACAGCCAGGAGGUUGGCUCAGAAGCAGCCAUCCUUGAAAGAGUGCGUAACAGCUCACUGGUCGAGCGUCCCUGCGCCAAAAAUGUGGGGGGCUAAGCAUGGCGCCGAAGCUUCGGAUUCAGUGGAAAUAUCCAUUGACUGGUAGGGGAGCGUUCUAUACAGGACGAAGCAUGAUUGUAAGAUCAUGUGGACAAUAUAGAAGUGAGAAUGACGGCAUGAGUAGCGAAAAGUGUGCGAAAAACACACUCACCGAAAACCCAAGGAUUCCUGGGGAAGGUUCAUCCACCCAGGGUUAGGCGGGACCUAAGGCGAGGCCGAAAGGCGUAGUCGAUGGACAGCAGGUAGACAAUCCUGCCCUUUGGCAGUUCGUUUGACAGAUGGAGUGACGCAGAAAGCUAUGCACGCCGGGUGAUGGAAAUCCCGGUACAAAGUAGUAGGCUUGAGAAAGAGGCAAAUCCCUUUCUCUCCAAGGCCGAGAACUGACGUGGAAGAAUCCAAUUCGAGAAGGUGCAAAUGCUCGGCUGCCGAGAAAAACUUCUAUGGAGAACUGUCGAACCCGUACUCAAAACCGACACAGGUGGGUUGGCUUAGAAGGCUAAGGUGAACGGGAUAACCAUUGUUAAGGAACUCUGCAAGUUGACUCCGUAACUUCGGGAGAAGGAGUGGCUGGAGAUGUGAAUAUUUUACAUAGUAAGCAUCUUUGGUUCGCAGAAACCAGGCUCAGGCGACUGUUUAACUAAAACACAGGACUCUGCUGAAGGCGCAAGCCGAAGUAUAGGGUCUGACACCUGCCCGGUGCUGGAAGGUUAAAGGGAGAGGUCAGCCGCAAGGCGAAGCUUUGAACUGAAGCCCCAGUAAACGGCGGCCGUAACUAUAACGGUCCUAAGGUAGCGAAAUUCCUUGUCGGGUAAGUUCCGACCUGCACGAAAGGUGUAACGAUCUGAGCGCUGUCUCGACAGUGGGCCCGGUGAAAUUGUGGUACUGGUAAAGACGCCAGUUACCCGCAGUAGGACGGAAAGACCCCGUGGAGCUUUACUGUAACUUGAUAUUGGAUUUCGGUAUAGUAUGUAUAGGAUAGGUGGGAGGCAGUGAAAUAAGGUCGCCAGACUUUAUGGAGCCGUCGUUGGAAUACCACCCUUAUUGUGCUGGGAUUCUAACCGCAGGCACUGAAUCGUGAUGCGGGACAUUGUCAGGCGGGCAGUUUGACUGGGGCGGUCGCCUCCCAAAGAGUAACGGAGGCGCGCGAAGGUCACCUCAAGAUGAAUGGAAAACAUCUACAGAGCGUAAGGGUAUAAGGUGGCUUAACUGUGAGAUUGACAGAUCGAUCAGAAACGAAAGUUGGUCCUAGUGAUCCGGUGGUCCUGAGUGGAAAGGCCAUCGCUCAUCGGAUAAAAGCUACCCCGGGGAUAACAGGCUGAUGCCGCCCGAGAGUUCCUAUCGACGGCGGCGUUUGGCACCUCGAUGUCGGCUCAUCGCAUCCUGGGGCUGAAGCAGGUCCCAAGGGUUGGUCUGUUCGCCCAUUAAAGCGGUACGUGAGCUGGGUUCAGAACGUCGUGAGACAGUUCGGUCCCUAUCCACUGUGGGCGCAAGGUAUUUGAGAGGAACUGUCCCUAGUACGAGAGGACCGGGAUGGACGUACCGCUAGUGAACCAGUUAUUCCGCCAGGAGUAAAAGCUGGGUAGCCAUGUACGGAUCGGAUAACCGCUGAAGGCAUCUAAGCGGGAAGCCGGCCUCAAGAUGAGAUACCUCAUUCGUCAAAGAAGUAAGGUGUCCGGCAGACGACCGGUUUGAUAGGUUGGAGGUGUAAGAGGGUAACGCCCUUUGAGCUGACCAAUACUAAUACACCGAGGCCUUAACCUC